rnacentral:lncRNA from 1 species
CUGAACCCUUAGCACCCAGAAUGGUGUUUGGCACAUAAUAAGCAUUCAAGAAAGAUUUAUAGGAAGGAAGAAAGGAAGAGAGGGAGAAGACACGGAGGGAAGAGAGGAAAAAAGAGAUGGAAAGAAGGAGCUUAUACAUUUGCACUUUUCCAGAGGCUGGAAGGAAUAGGGGAGCUUUACAGGUUCACUUGUUACUUUCAAACUCAGGAAAAAGUGAGUAGAGCUUAUUCUGUAGACUACCAGAAAAGUGUCCAUUUUCUUUCUUGGGGGCACCCAGCAUAGAAAUUAACCCAGAUGGAUGUGGUAGAGAGUUUAUUUCAAGUUGAGUCAUAGUAAUUCCCUAGAAAUGUGUAAAGAAUAUUUCAUCUUUGAGGCAUUUUAGAAAUGAGUUAUUCCUUAAAACAUCUCUUGCAGGUAGAAGAUGCAUUGUUAAUUUUGCUACUUGGAGGAGAAUGUCGAAAUGGAGUGGCUAAGCAGCUUAGCCAAGGCCCCGAGUCAAGACUGCUUCUGAGACUAUCAAUCUGCAACACUCAAAAACAGCUAGAGAAAUAACGAAGAGUCAGCAUACCUUACCUACACACAUCAGUGCUUCAUUCCUCCAAUCCUGCUUCUCUGAACAACUCUACAACUCCCGCAGAUGAGAGUGAGUGAGGAGAGAGGGCUGGAUGUUAUCCUGACUCAGAAUUCCCAGUUAGACUCAGAGAAGACUCAGAGCAAUUAUAAGCCACGGUUAAGAGAUGAUGUUUAGCAAUCAGAUGAUGUGUGGGGGCUGGAGGGCACAGUACGAACGAGGAUUAAGGCAAGUGACGUUGGCCCAAACCAUUUCACACAGUAUAGUGUCUUUUAAUGUUAUUAAAAGUAUUUAUUUC